CACCGCUCGGUAGGCGGGGUCACGGCGUUCACCUGACAGCAAAACUGUCGUCUCCUGAAGUAAUCCCGUCCUGCGCGUCAGAUAGGUGUAAUAUUGACAGACGUUGGAGUUUACUACAGCUGCUCUCUCAGUUUCCACCUCCGAGUCUUUAUCGACCUCCCUGUGCCACACAGCCUGCAGAGAAAGUCUCCAGGUCGCCUGCACAGUUUGGGGGGCAUGGAGCCUCGGCGGAAGGAGGAGAAGGAUAAUCCGUCGGUUUCAGCUAAUCUUCUCUCCAAGAUUUUCUUCUGCUGGCUGAAUCCCUUGUUUAAACUUGGGUACAAGAGGAAGUUGGAAGAAGAUGACAUGUUUCAAGUUCUCCCAGAGGAUGCAUCAGAACGACUUGGGGAGGAGCUACAGUGCUGCUGGAACAGAGAGGUUCAGCAGGCAGCGAAGGACCUGCACCCACCAAGUCUGACUAAAGCUCUUGUUGAAUGCUACUGGAGGCCGUACUCCCUCAUUGGAAUUUACAUCUUUGUAGAGGAAGUUUUCAAAGUCAUUCAGCCAGUCCUACUCGGGAAAAUGAUCGAGUACUUCGAGCGUUAUGACCCCACCAACACAGCCGCCACAUAUGAGGCCUACGGCUACGCUGCAGGAAUCUCCCUGUCAACCAUCGCUGUCACCGUCCUUCAUCAUCUCUAUUUCUACCAUGUUCAGCGUGCAGGCAUGAAGAUUCGUGUGGCCAUGUCUCACAUGAUCUAUAGGAAGGCUCUUUUUCUUAGCAGCAAAGCACUGGCCAAAACCACCACAGGACACGUUGUAAACCUGUUAUCCAAUGAUGUCAACAAAUUUGAUGAGAUAACCUUAUAUUUGCACUUUCUAUGGAUUGGUCCUCUACAAGCAGGGACUGUAGUAAUAUUGUUGCUGUAUGCAAUCGGCCCAUCAUGCCUUGCGGGAAUGGCUGUCCUCUUUAUCUUGAUGCCAAUACAGACUAUGUUUGGGCACUUGUUCUCCAGUCUCAGGGCUCAAACAGCUGUCUUAACAGAUGACAGAAUACGCAUGAUGAAUGAAGUCAUUACUGGGAUCAGGGUUAUAAAGAUGUAUGGGUGGGAGAAGCCUUUUGCUGCAUUGGUUCAUGAGGUCAGGAGACUUGAAAUCUCAAAGAUCAUGAAAAGCUCGUACCUGCGAGGGCUGAACAUGGCAUCGUUCUUUGUGGGAAGCAAGAUCGUAAUUUUCAUCACCGUCUGUGUCUACGUACUGACAGGCAACACGUUGACAGCUAGCAGCGUGUUCAUGGCUGUCUCCCUCUACGGGGCGGUCAGACUCACUAUCACGCUCUUCUUUCCCUUUGCCAUAGAAAAGGUCUCUGAGUCUCUCAUCAGCAUCAGAAGGAUACAGAAUUUUCUCCUGCUUGAUGAAGUUGCUCCUCAGCAUCUGGGUCUCCCUGUGGCAGAGAAAGAGUGCAUGGUGGAGAUUCAGGAUUUGAUGUGCUACUGGGAUAAGAUGCUAGAGGCUCCAACUUUACAGAGCGUGUCGUUCACAGUGAAGACAGAGCAACUCCUGGCAGUAAUUGGACCUGUUGGUGCUGGAAAGUCUUCCCUCCUCAAUGCCAUCCUGGGAGAACUGAGUCAGGAGAGCGGCGUUGUAAAGGUCAAGGGAGGGCUGAUGUACACGUCUCAGCUGCCUUGGAUUUUACCUGGAACAAUUCGAAGCAACAUCCUGUUUGGAAAAGAGCUCGACCCCAAUAAGUACAACAGAGUUCUGGGAGCCUGCGCCCUCAAGAGAGAUAUGGACCUGUUACCAGGUGGUGACCUGGCGUUAGUUGGAGACAGAGGGGCCAACCUUAGCGGAGGUCAGAAGGCAAGAGUCAGCUUAGCAAGAGCUGUGUAUCAGGAUGCAGAUAUCUACCUGCUGGAUGACCCACUCAGUGCUGUGGAUGCUGAGGUGGGGCGACACCUCUUUGAAGAAUGUAUUUGUGGACUUCUAAAAAAGAAGCCUCGUAUCCUGGUUACUCAUCAGCUGCAGUACCUGAAAGCUGCAGAUCAGAUUGUUGUCUUGAAAGAGGGUCAGAUGGUGGCAUGUGGGACCUUCAGUGAGUUGCAGAACUCUGGACUGGACUUUAUCUCUCUGCUGAAGGAGGAGGAGGACAAGGAGGAGGCGAGGCAGGGCACGAGCUCAAUUCCUGGGAGUCUCUCUCGCUGUGCCCAUUCGCUCUCUGACAACUCAAAGUCCUCUAUGUCCACCCUCUCCUCCUCUCAGUACUCUUUGAUUGAGGGAGCAGAGCCACUUCAAGUGGUAGUGCAACAUGCGGAGGAAGAACGUCGCUCAGAAGGAAACGUCGGCCUGCGUAUGUAUAUGAGAUAUUUCAGAGCAGGUGCUAACUUCCUGGUCCUCCUGGUCCUCCUUUUACUCAAUGCCCUAGCACAUAUUACAUUUGUUCUACAGGACUGGUGGCUGGCUUGCUGGGCCUCUGAACAGAAGCACAUCAAUGUGACAGAGCACCUCAAUGGCAGCUUCCCUCGGCAGCUGGACCUUGACCUGUACCUAGGUGUUUACGCAGGUUUAACAGCCACUUCAGUAGUGUUUGGCUUCCUCCGCACCUUGGUCUUCUUUAAUGUCCUGGUGAGCUCGGCUCAGACCUUACACAGCCGCAUGUUUAAUGCCAUCCUCCAGACCCCCGUCCACUUUUUCGACGUCAAUCCAAUCGGAAGGAUCCUCAACAGGUUCUCAAAGGACAUCGGUUACCUGGACUCUCUGCUCCCAUGGACGUUUGUGGACUUUAUCCAGGUGUUUCUUCAAGUCAUUGGUGUGAUUGCAGUAGCGGCCGUCAUCAUUCCCUGGAUCCUCGUUCCUGUUGCUCCCCUCCUGGCUGUCUUUUUAUUCCUGAGAUGUUACUUCCUGAAGACCUCCAGAGACAUCAAGCGCCUGGAGUCUACCACUCGGAGUCCAGUGUUCUCCCACCUUUCCUCAUCUCUCCAAGGCCUGAGCACCAUCCGUGCCUUCAAAGUUCAGCAGAGAUUUCAGCAGCUGUUUGAUGAUUAUCAAAACCUUCAUUCUGAGGCCUGGUUCUUAUUCCUGACGACUUCUCGCUGGUUUGCCGUCCGUCUUGAUGCAAUUUGCUCCAUUUUCGUCACCAUUACUGCUUUUGGCUGCCUUUUCCUCAGGGAGGGACUGGAACCAGGUGCAGUGGGUCUGGCCCUGUCUUAUGCUGUGACGCUGACAGGCAUGUUCCAGUGGGGUGUCAGACAGAGCGCAGAAAUCGAGAACAUGAUGACUUCGGUGGAGAGAGUUGUUGAGUAUGCAGAGCUGGAGAGUGAAGCUCCCUGGGAGACAGACAAACAGCCUCCACCUGACUGGCCGCACACAGGCUCCAUCACCUUCGACAGAGUCAACUUCUCCUACAGCGCCAAUGCACCUUUGGUCCUGAAGAACCUCACUGUUGUCUUCACGCCCAGAGAGAAGGUUGGCAUCGUUGGACGCACAGGUGCUGGUAAAAGUUCUCUGAUCUCUGCCUUGUUCCGGCUGGCAGAACCUGAGGGGAGAAUAAUGAUCGAUGGCUUCCUAACUUCUGAGAUCGGUCUACACACCCUGCGCCAGAAAAUGUCCAUCAUCCCACAGGACCCAGUUCUCUUCACGGGCACCGUGAGGAAGAAUCUGGACCCUUUCAGGCAGCACACAGAUGAGGACCUGUGGAAUGCACUCCAAGAGGUACUCCAGCGUGGCUCUGAAUGAUUCCCUCUCGCCGGCCCAGGGGGGGAUCCCUCUGUCCCCCUGUACAAUGCUGCCAUUCAGCCUCCCUGCUCGCCACAAGUCAUGGGGGGAAAUCCCAUUAGGGCCAUGGGGCCCAGCUCAAUGUGCGGCUUGUAACUGGGAACCAUUGAAAGUGCUGGGGGAGAUGUGUUUGGGCAGUCAGGCCAACCAGGAUGAAGGCUCCCCCCACAGUGAAGGGCUUCAGCUCCUGGUCCUGCCUCUGAAUGGGUUUGGUGGCCUGGAUUAAAGCUAGAGGCUAGCCACAAGAGAGCACUGGCCAAGGUCAUCAGUGGACCUGGCCCUGCAUUGUGCCAGGCGGUUAAUGGGUGCAGAUGAAGGCCGUGGUGGAGGACCUGCCCAAUAAGCUGGAGACGGUGCUGACCGAGUCGGGCUCCAACUUCAGUGUGGGCCAGAGGCAGCUGGUGUGUCUGGCCAGGGCCAUCCUCCGUAAAAACCGCAUCCUCAUCAUUGAUGAGGCCACAGCUAACGUGGACCCGAGAACUGACAGCCUUAUCCAGCAGACGAUCCGGGACAAGUUUCAAGAGUGUACCGUCCUCACCAUCGCUCACAGGCUCAACACGAUCAUUGACUGUGACAGAAUACUGGUUCUAGGCGCAGGCAGGAUCCAGGAGUAUGACCAGCCGUAUGUGCUGCUGCAGAACCAGGACGGGCUCUUCUACCAGAUGGUCCAACAGACAGGCAGAGCUGAGGCUGCCUCGCUGCUGCACACAGCCAAACAGGUUUACACGAACAAAAAGCGGGUGACAGACGUGCACUGUGCCAAGGACAUCUGUGUCAUCUUUGAGACGUCUCUUUGACACGGAGGGUGGAGAGGCGCUGCGGCCCCUGGCUGACCAAAUCUUUUACCAUGAUGUACCUAGAUUCCUCUCUGUGUAUUAAAAUCUCUUAAUAACCCCCCAGCAGGCCGAGUGUAGUGUGCAGCAUUUGAUUGGCACAGUCCUUUAGUGUGCAAGAGAAGUAUCUGAAGCAGGAUGUGCCUUUAUUGACAGCAUAUUACUGCACGGCUCUUUAUUGAUUGCACCCUGCUAUGUUUAUGCAUGAGCACUCCGGCCUCUUGGGUAGCUUCAAUCCUGCACUGGUGCUCAAAAGGACUGCACAUAUUGGACGUGUUAAUCCUGCUGCAAUAAAUUAUUGUUGGCUUGAAUCAUUCUUUUAUGGCUGACAUUGUUCCAAAGCAGGACUGCAGUCUUUUGAUUAUUUGGAAAACGCUUGAAAAAGACAAGAAGAGCCUGAGAGAAGACAGAAAUGUUCUCAGUAAUUAUUGUGCCUUAAUCAGACCAUUGAUUUUUUUUUUUGUAAUUGCACUGUGUUAAUUGAGUAGUCUUCCAGCACUUUGAUGAUAGUGGUUUUAUGUCUACCUCAGCUCUUGUAAGGAUUAAAUGGUAAAAGUUUAAAUGAAGCAUGUCACGUACCGGCAAUGAUAAUGAGUAACUCCAUGAAGGUGGGGGAAAAGUUCGGAGUUUGUUGCCUCUAAAAUCUUUUCUUGAUGUCGUUUGAAAUUGCUCUUUUACUCUUUUGAUAAAUGGGGCACUGUCGCUUUAAAUGCAACAACUUCAAACUGUGAUACAAGGUUUAGCAUGACUGUUACAGCCAUACAGUUGGUAUCUUUCUUGCUUUAAUUCCUUAUAAACCUGAUUGAGUCGUAUUCAAACAUGUCAUCUUUUUUGCACUUUGUCGACUAGUUACUGAAAAUCUGAGCGCAGCAAAUUGAAGUGAAGUUUUGUUCAAUAAAACAUUGUGUCAAAAUGUU